AUCGCGACAGUGUAGCAGAAAUUAUCGCGAAAUGGUGUGGUGGCUUAUAUCGUGGCAUAUAAAGGACCGUUUAUCACGACGAAAUUGUUACGUAGACGAGUAGCGAUUUGCAGCAGGGCGGAGAGGCAGAUGGCUAGACACAGAGACUAACUUUCCUCUGCACACUUGCGGCCGUGAAGAAGGGGGCUGCUGCUUUUGUCGCGCUGCACAGACGCGUGGAAAAGAAGAGAGUGGGAUUUGCGACAGUAUUGUCGUGGUUCGCGUUGUCCUGCGCCCUGUCGUCGUUGCCAUUCGGAUAACAAACGUCACGGUUUGAGGGGUCUCGCUUUUCCAGCCGGUGGACAGCCUCUUUAAAGAGUAAUUACGCCUACACUUGGUAUAUCCUGCGCCCCGUAAUAGAUAUUCUUCAUCGUUUUUUCAGGCACACACGUGUUUCUUCGGUAUUGCCUCGCCACCGCGGUAGCCACUUAAAGCCACAUACGCAUCGAAUGCACAAACUACGAUGGAACUGGCAUUCUUCAGACGAAACACAACGAACGACCCAGGAGUUCAUACGACUUCGAUGGCAUUUUCAUCCGGCGGUUCUCCACAUCUCAGCAAAUAGAAGUAUUAAUAACCACGAAGAACAAUCUGACUACGAUCGCCGGGAUUUGGAACGCGGACGUUCGUAACCUAAGGCGCUAACCACUGCGCUACCGUUGUCCGGUGUUAGUGUCGAGUGGUGAUAUUUGUGCUGUCGAGUGCCGCCACAAAUUGAACGCGAGGAAAAAACGAAAUGAGAGAAAGCAUAGAGUGGAAUAGGGAAGCUGAGGGAAGAGAAGCGAGGUCCUAAUUACCACCGAAACACGCGCGUACACGCACGUGUAUUCCGCGGGCUGGUCUGUGCGCCGGUACACCCACGAUCUCGAGCCGCGUGUGAAGCGAAAAAAAGGAAAUUACACGUACGAGCCGGCGGGGGUGGUGAGCAGAGCCUUGCUGCCCUGUGAUAUUCAUGUUUCCAGAUUAUUUAUGACUCGUGGAACGAGUGGCCGCACGCGUACAACGGCGCUACGAAACGCAACCCGUGCACCUAACACGUACAUUAUACGAGGAAAGAAAAGAGCAAGCCGCGGGGCUGCCAGUCGGUCGACUCGGGGGUGGAGUGGAAAAAAAUAGAAACAGCCCCGCACUUGGCGCAGCGUCUACUCGCGCGGGGCACAGGGGCGGUACUCGCGUUCUCGUGCUCUCACCGCUUAACGCCACCUCGCGCCUUGCCCGUCCGAUUAAACGAGGCCCCGCCGCCGCCUCCUCACGACUCUUUGUACGCUGUUCGACGACGUUCAUCAACGCCGUGCGUGUAAAUACGUACACGAGGUUGAUCGCGAUGGUGAGAGUAACAUAAUGCUUGGCAGAUAGAACAGCAGGU
rnacentral:misc_RNA from 1 species